UAGAGAUUUAACGAAAGUGGCGAACGGGUGAGUAACACGUGAGCAACCUGCCUUACACAGGGGGAUAGCCAUUGGAAACGGUGAUUAAUACCCCAUAAGACCACAAUACCGCAUGGUAAAAGGGUAAAAGGGAUACCGGUGUAAGAUGGGCUCGCGUCUGAUUAGCUAGUUGGUGGGGUAAAGGCCUACCAAGGCGACGAUCAGUAGCCGGUCUGAGAGGAUGAACGGCCACAUUGGAACUGAGACACGGUCCAAACUCCUACGGGAGGCAGCAGUA
rnacentral:rRNA from 1 species